AACCUGCCUUAUAGUGGGGGAGUAGCCUUUCGAAAGGAAGAUUAAUACCGCAUAAGAUUGUAGUAUCGCAUGAUAUAGCAAUUAAAGGAAGCAAUUCGCUAUAAGAUGGACCCGCGUCGCAUUAGCUAGUUGGUGAGGUAAUGGCUCACCAAGGCGACGAUGCGUAGCCGACCUGAGAGGGUGAUCGGCCACAUUGGGACUGAGACACGGCCCAGACUCCUACGGGAGGCAGCAUG
rnacentral:rRNA from 1 species